AAGUCGUAACAAGGUUUCCGUAGGUGAACCUGCGGAAGGAUCAUUAAAGAGACGUUGCCCUUCGGGGUCGACCUCCCACCCUAUGUUUAUCAUACCUCUGUUGCUUUGGCAGGCCCGUCCUCGGACCGCCGGCUCCGGCCGGCCCGUGCCUGCCAGGGAACCUAAAACUCUGUUUGUUAAUGCAGUCUGAGUACUAUAUAAUAGUUAAAACUUUCAACAACGGAUCUCUUGGUUCUGGCAUCGAUGAAGAACGCAGCGAAAUGCGAUAAGUAAUGUGAAUUGCAGAAUUCAGUGAAUCAUCGAAUCUUUGAACGCACAUUGCGCCCCCUGGUAUUCCGGGGGGCAUGCCUGUUCGAGCGUCAUUACAACCCUCAAGCUCUGCUUGGUAUUGGGCCCCGCCGGUUCCGGCGGGCCCUAAAGUCAGUGGCGGUGCCAUCCGGCUCCGAGCGUAGUAAUUCUUCUCGCUCUGGAGACCCGGCUGUGUGCUUGCCAGCAACCCCCAAUUUUUUAAGGUUGACCUCGGAUCAGGUAGGGAUACCCGCUGAACUUAAGCAUAUCAAUAAGCGGAGGAAAAGAAACCAACAGGGAUUACCUCAGUAACGGCGAGUGAAGCGGUAACAGCUCAAAUUUGAAAUCUGGCCUCACGGUCCGAGUUGUAAUUUGUAGAGGAUGUUUCGAGCAUGGUCUGGCCUAAGUUCCUUGGAACAGGACGUCAUAGAGGGUGAGAAUCCCGUAUGCGGCCAGGUGCCUACGCUCAUGUGAAGCUCCUUCGACGAGUCGAGUUGUUUGGGAAUGCAGCUCAAAAUGGGUGGUAAAUUUCAUCUAAAGCUAAAUAUUGGCCAGAGACCGAUAGCGCACAAGUAGAGUGAUCGAAAGAUGAAAAGCACUUUGGAAAGAGAGUUAAACAGUACGUGAAAUUGUUGAAAGGGAAGCGCUUGCAACCAGACUUGCGCGCGGCUGAUCAUCCGGUGUUCUCACUGGUGCACUCGGUCGCGCUCAGGCCAGCAUCGGUUUUGGUGGUUGGAUAAAGGUCCUAGGAAUGUGGCUCCUCUCGGGGAGUGUUAUAGCCUAGGGCGCAAUGCAGCCUACCGGGACCGAGGACCGCGCUUCGGCUAGGAUGCUGGCGUAAUGGUUGUAAGCGGCC
rnacentral:rRNA from 1 species